GACGAACGCUGGCGGCGUGCUUAACACAUGCAAGUCGAACGGAAAGGCCCUGCUUUUGUGGGGUGCUCGAGUGGCGAACGGGUGAGUAACACGUGAGUAACCUGCCCUUGACUUUGGGAUAACUUCAGGGAACUGGGGCUAAUACCGGAUAGGAGCUCCUGCUGCAUGGUGGGGGUUGGAAAGUUUCGGCGGUUGGGGAUGGACUCGCGGCUUAUCAGCUUGUUGGUGGGGUAGUGGCUUACCAAGGCUUUGACGGGUAGCCGGCCUGGGAGGGUGACCGGCCACAUUGGGACUAAGGUACGGCCCAGACUCCUACGGGAGGCAGCAGUGGGGAGUAUGGCACAAUGGGCGGAAGCCUGAUGCAGCAACGCCGGGUGCGGAAUGACGGCCUUCGGGUUGUAAACCGCUUUCGCCUGUGACGAAGCGUGAGUGACGGUAAUGGGUAAAGAAGCACCGGCUAACUACGUG
rnacentral:rRNA from 1 species